rnacentral:rRNA from 1 species
CUAAGUUUGAUGGCGACCGGCGCACGGGUGAGUAACACGUAUCCAACCUGCCGAUAACUCCGGAAUAGCCUUUCGAAAGAAAGAUUAAUACCGGAUGGCAUACGAAUAUCGCAUGAUAUUUUUAUUUAAAGAAUUUCGGUUAUCGAUGGGGAUGCGUUCCAUUAGUUUGUUGGCGGGGUAACGGGCCCACCAAGACUACGAUGGAUAGGGGUUCUGAGAGGAAGGUCCCCCACAUUGGAACUGAGACACGGUCCAAACUCCUACGGGAGGCAGCAUG